rnacentral:rRNA from 1 species
GAGAGUACCUGAAGAAUAAGCACCGGCUAACUACGUGCCAGCAGCCGCGGUAAUACGUAGGGUGCAAGCGUUAAUCGGAAUUACUGGGCGUAAAGCGUGCGCAGGCGGACUUUUAAGCCAGAUGUGAAAGCCCCGAGCUUAACCUGGGAACUGCGUUUGUGACUGCAAGGCUAGAGUACGGCAGAGGGGGGUGGAAUUCCUGGUGUAGCAGUGAAAUGCGUAGAGAUCAGGAGGAACACCGAUGGCGAAGGCAGCCCCCUGGGCCUGUACUGACGCUCAUGCACGAAAGCGUGGGGAGCAAAACAGGAUUAGAUACCCUGGUAGUCCACGCCCUAAACGAUGUCGACUAGUCGUUCGGAGCAGCAAUGCACUGAGUGACGCAGCUAACGCGUGAAGUCGACCGCCUGGGGAGUACGGCCG